CCUACGUGGUGCUGCAGUGAGGAAUAUUGGUCAAUGGGCGCGAGCCUGAACCAGCCAAGUAGCGUGAAGGAUGACUGCCCUACGGGUUGUAAACUUCUUUUAUAAAGGAAUAAAGUGAGGCACGUGUGCCUUUUUGUAUGUCCUUUAUGAAUAAGGAUCGGCUAACUCCGUGCCAGCAGCCGCGGUAAUACGGAGGAUCCGAGCGUUAUCCGGAUUUAUUGGGUUUAAAGGGAGCGUAGAUGGGUUGUUAAGUCAGUUGUGAAAGUUUGCGGCUCAACCGUAAAAUUGCAAUUGAUACUGGCAGUCUUGAGUACAGUUGAGGUAGGCGGAAUUCGUGGUGUAGCGGUGAAAUGCUUAGAUAUCACGAAGAACUCCGAUUGCGAAGGCAGCUUACUAAACUGCCACUGACAUUGAUGCUCGAAAGUGUGGGUAUCAAACAGGAUUAGAUACCCUAGUAGUC
rnacentral:rRNA from 1 species